CACAUGCAAGUCGAACGAAGGCCCGGGGCUUGCCCCGGUUACCUUAGUGGCGAACGGGUGAGUAACGCGUGGGAAUCUGCCCUACGGUGGGGAAUAACAGCUGGAAACGGCUGCUAAUACCGCAUACGCUCUACGGAGGAAAGGCUUCGGCCGCCGUUGGAGGAUCCCGCGUCCGAUUAGCUUGUUGGUGAGGUAAUGGCUCACCAAGGCUACGAUCGGUAGCUGGUCUGAGAGGACGAUCAGCCACACUGGGACUGAGACACGGCCCAGACUCCUACGGGAGGCAGCAGUGGGGAAUAUUGGACAAUGGGGGAAACCCUGAUCCAGCAAUGCCGCGUGAGUGAAGAAGGCCUUAGGGUUGUAAAACUCUUUCACCCGUGAAGAUGAUGACGGUAGCGGGAGAAGAAGCUCCGGCUAACUCCGUGCCAGCAGCCGCGGUAAUACGGAGGGGGCAAGCGUUGCUCGGAAUUACUGGGCGUAAAGCGCGCGUAGGCGGUACACAUAGUCAGGCGUGAAAGCCCCGGGCUUAACCCGGGAACUGCGUUUGAUACUGGUGUGCUAGAAUCCGAAAGAGGGCAGUGGAAUUCCCAGUGUAGAGGUGAAAUUCGUAGAUAUUGGGAAGAACACCAGAGGCGAAGGCGGCUGCCUGGUUCGGUAUUGACGCUGAGGUGCGAAAGCGUGGGGAGCGAACAGGAUUAGAUACCCUGGUAGUCCACGCCGUAAACGAUGAGUGCUAGUUGUUGGGCAGCAUGCUGCUCGGUGACGCCGCUNACGCUUUAAGCACUCCGCCUGGGGAGUAC
rnacentral:rRNA from 1 species